UACGUAGGGGGCAAGCGUUGUCCGGAUUUAUUGGGCGUAAAGAGCGUGUAGGCGGUUUGGUAGGUCCGUUGUGAAAACUCGAGGCUCAACCUCGAGACGCCGAUGGAAACCAUCAGACUAGAGUCCGGAAGAGGAGAGUGGAAUUCCGUGGAUGUAGCGGUGAAAUGCGCAGAUAUCAGGAGGAACACCGGUGGCGAAGGCGGGUCUCUGGGCAGUUAACUGACGUGGAGGAGCGAAAGCAUGGGGAGCGAACAGG
rnacentral:rRNA from 1 species